GAACUCGGAAGCAGAUGGGAGCUGGCAUAAGAGGAUAGGUGGGGAGUCUCCCUAUGGAGAGGAAGGGUUGAAGAACUCUGCAAAACCAGCUUUCAGCCAGUGGUUGAGACAGAGCUUCUGGCAGGAUAUAGCAUCCAGCAUAAGUAUAGGGAUGAAGCCAGGAGAAGAAACAUCUGUGGAAGCUCAGUGCAGGCAGUAUUAGCAAAGUUCUAGAGAGAUCCAUUACUGGAGAUUUUAAGGAGGACUGUAAAGGGAAAGAAGUGCCUUUCCAGCUGUUUACUGAUCAUCAUGAUUAGGUGAG